AGAACGAACGCUGGCGGCAUGCCUAACACAUGCAAGUCGAACGAGACCCCAACUUCGGUUGGACGUCUAGUGGCGCACGGGUGCGUAACGCGUGGGAAUCUGCCCUUCGGUUCGGAAUAACUCGGAGAAAUCCGUGCUAAUACCGGAUAAUGACGUAAGUCCAAAGAUUUAUCGCCGAGGGAUGAGCCCGCGUAGGAUUAGCUUGGUUGGUAGAGGGUAAAGGCUACGACCGAAGGCGACGAUUCCGUAGCGUGUCGUGAGAGGUAUGAUCGAGCUACACUGGGACUGACGACGACCGGCCCGA
rnacentral:rRNA from 1 species